rnacentral:rRNA from 1 species
GAUGAACGCUAGCGGCAGGCUUAAUACAUGCAAGUCGAGGGGCAGCAGGUCUGUAGCAAUACAGAUGCUGGCGACCGGCAAACGGGUGCGGAACACGUACUGGACCUUCCUUUAAGUGGGGAAUAGCCCAGGGAAACUUGGAUUAAUACCCCGUAAUAUAAUGAGGUGGCAUCACCUUAUUAUUAUAGCUCCGGCGCUUGAAGAUGGCAGUGCGGCUGAUUAGGUAGUUGGCGGGGUAACGGCCCACCAAGCCUGCGAUCAGUAACUGGUGUGAGAGCACGACCAGUCACACGGGCACUGAGACACGGGCCUGACUCCUACGGGAGGCAGCAGUAAGGAAUAUUGGGCAAUGGACACAAGUCUGACCCAGCCAUGCCGCGUGGAGGAUGAAGGUCCUCUGGAUUGUAAACUUCUUUUAUAUGGGACGAAAAAGGGUCUUUCUAGAUCAACUGACGGUACCAUAUGAAUAAGCACCGGCUAACUCCGUGCCAGCCGCCGCGGUAAAAC